GUCAACACCCACCCCUUCAAGGGGUGGGCUUCCGGCUAAGAGUCUAGGCUCCAAACCAAAAAGCCCUAGUUGACCAGACUGAGUGUCUUGCACACUACGUUAUCAGUAAGAGUUAAAGUUCCUACCUUGGGAUGCAUUGUCUAGUCUCAUGCUCUAGA
rnacentral:sRNA from 19 species